rnacentral:rRNA from 1 species
UACGGAGGAGGCAAGCGUUAUCCGGAAUUAUUGGGCGUAAAGCGUCCGCAGGUGGCUAAUCAAGUCUGUUGUCAAAGCGCGGAGCUCAACUCCGUACAGGCGAUGGAAACUGGGAGACUAGAGUACGUUCGGGGCAGAGGGAAUUCCUGGUGUAGCGGUGAAAUGCGUAGAGAUUGGGAAGAACACCGGUGGCGAAGGCGCUCUGCUAUGCCGCAACUGACACUGAGGGACGAAAGCUAGGGGAGCAAACAGG